rnacentral:rRNA from 1 species
AGUGAACGCUGGCGGUAGGCCUAACACAUGCAAGUCGAACGGCAGCACAGUAAGAGCUUGCUCUUACGGGUGGCGAGUGGCGGACGGGUGAGGAAUACAUCGGAAUCUACUUUUUCGUGGGGGAUAACGUAGGGAAACUUACGCUUAUACCGCAUACGACCUACGGGUGAAAGCAGGGGAUCUUCGGACCUUGCGCGAUUGAAUGAGCCGAUGUCGGAUUAGCUAGUUGGCGGGGUAAAGGCCCACCAAGGCGACGAUCCGUAGCUGGUCUGAGAGGAUGAUCAGCCACACUGGAACUGAGACACGUUCCAGACUCCUACGGGAGGCAGCAGUGGGGAAUAUUGGACAAUGGGCGCAAGCCUGAUCCAGCCAUACCGCGUGGGUGAAGAAGGCCUUCGGGUUGUAAAGCCCUUUUGUUGGGAAAGAAAAGCAGCAGGUUAAUACCCCGCUGUUCUGACGGUACCCAAAGAAUAAGCACCGGCUAACUUCGUG